rnacentral:rRNA from 1 species
UACAGAGGGGCAAGCGUUGUUCGGAAUUACUGGGCGUAAAGGGCGCGUAGGCGGCCUUCUAAGUCGAACGUGAAAUCCCCGGGCUCAACCCGGGAACUGCGUCCGAUACUGGAAGGCUUGAAUCCGGGAGAGGGAUGCGGAAUUCCAGGUGUAGCGGUGAAAUGCGUAGAUAUCUGGAGGAACACCGGUGGCGAAGGCGGCAUCCUGGACCGAUACUGACGCUGAGGAGCGAAAGCCAGGGGAGCAAAGCGGG